rnacentral:rRNA from 1 species
CAGUCGCCGCGGUAAUACGGAGGAUCCAAGCGUUAUCCGGAUUUAUUGGGUUUAAAGGGUGCGUAGGCGGCUUUUUAAGUCAGGGGUGAAAGACGGUAGCUUAACUAUCGCAGUGCCCUUGAUACUGAAGAGCUUGAAUAUAGUUGAGGUAGGCGGAAUGUGACAAGUAGCGGUGAAAUGCAUAGAUAUGUCACAGAACACCAAUUGCGAAGGCAGCUUACUAAGCUAUGAUUGACGCUGAGGCACGAAAGCGUGGGGAUCAAACAGGAUUAGAUACCCCCGUAGUCCCUGUCUCUUAUAA